rnacentral:piRNA from 1 species
UGGAUAAAGCCAUUGUUGGUGCAACUGU